rnacentral:lncRNA from 1 species
CUCCACAGCUUGUUCUUGGGAGCUAGGCAAGAUGCAACUGUUCCAAUAGGCUCUAUAAAGAAUCUGGGAGGGGGCAGGGUGAUCUUUCCGUUCCCCAAACCAGGAAGAGCUUUGCUUCUCAGAACUGCUUGGCUGUUGUCUUGUGACUCCCUGAAUAUUUGAGGUUUCACAAGUGCAUCCAGGGAAAGCUCAAAAAGGAUUCACACCUACAAACAAAACAGAAGGGGCUUCACCGCUAAAGAAGCGCCCACCUCCAAUGCUAAGAAACACAGUGACCAAGGUCUCCUAGCAGGGAGAAAGAGCAUGAAACUGCCUUUGCUCCUUCCUGUGAGUCACCCUCUUUUACUGAGAAGGGACAGAAUGCUACGUGCUAAAGCUGCACAGACUUUGGUGUAGCUUCAGUUUUUCCACCUAUGAUAAGACAUGGUAUUCCAUGGGACUCUGAUAGCAGAUGCAGUAAACAGAUGUGUUCCAACACAGAAACUGGGUAUGGUGGCAUAUGCCUGUAAUUCAGAAGCCUAGCAUUCAGGAGGCUGGGGCAGGCAGGAGGAUCACGAGGUCAAGACUAGUCUGGGUUAUAUAGCAAGGCACAGUGGGGGUGGGGAGAGAGAGAGAGAGAGAGAGAGAGAGAGAGAGAGAGAGAGAGAGAGAGAGAGAGAAAUACCAGAA